rnacentral:lncRNA from 1 species
AUGUUAAACACAUCUGACACAGCGAAUGCUGAGCUGCUGAAAGCACUCUCUAACUACGAAGAACUGAGCAAGAAACUCAUACAGUCUCUACCAGUAAAUGCUACAUCACCGUCUGCCCCACCUAGUCAGCCGUGCAGAAAUAUGCUGGGUGAGCCUGUCCCCCAGUCAGCUCGUGAGGGGAUGGUAUCCUUAAGAGACCUCAGUUACCUUCCUAGGAGAGAAUUCAAAGUGCAAGGUGGUCAAGUUGGUGAUCAAUCCUCCGACAUCAGCUACAGCAAUGUUUGCAAACAAAUUGAUGAUGGGAUUAAAGAAGGAUUUUCUGAAUCAGAAAUUGUUCGUGGGGUGCUCAAAAUCAUAAGGCCAGGCAUAUUCAAAGAGAUGCUGAUAAACAAAGAUGACAUUACAGUUACUGAACUCAAGGGGUUUCUCCAAAGUCACCUAAGAGAAAAAAAUAGUACAGAACUAUUCCAGGAGUUGAUGUGCACCAGACAGGACGAUAAUGAGACGCCACAGCAAUUUCUGUAUUGUGUGAUAGGUUUAAAGCGACGCAUCCUAUUUCCAUCAAAACUGACUGAUACUGACAUUAAAUACUCGGCAGCCACAGUACAAGAUGUCUUCCUGCAUACAGUGUACCAAGGCUUUGGACACAAACACACUGAUAUUCGGAGAGAACUGAAACAUUUAUUAUCCAGCAGUGGGGUCACUGAUGAGAUGAUCCCUCGACAGGUGAUGAAAACCACCAGUGAGGAAAACGAGAGAAUGAAAAGACUUGGUUCAUCCCGCCGACAGAAUGUAACAAAUGCACACAGCGCGCAGCUCGAGUCUGAAGGGGUCAAAAGACCUAACACAAAUUCGGUGAGUGAAGAGGUAAAGUCAACCCAAACAAAGCCAGAUCCCUUGAGAGACCUCACUAGCAAAGUAGAGGCACUCACCAAGCUGGUCAUGACGAUGCAAACCCACCAGCAGCAAGCUCACAAUGGCCACCAGUACAGUCAAAAUAGGACACAAUCAAAACGUGGGAAACACUAUGAGUGUCCAAGCUGCGUGGAACAAGACAGAGAAGACUGUAAACACUGUUUCAUAUGUGGGGGGGAAGGACACCGAGCUGCAGGCUGUUUAGGACGGUCAAAGAGACAGGGAAACUUCAACCGGUCAUUGGAGGGGGGCAUCUAG